rnacentral:rRNA from 1 species
AUUGAACGCUGGCGGCUGCCUUACACAUGCAAGUCGAACGGUAACAGGUCUUCGGACGCUGACGAGUGGCGAACGGGUGAGUAAUACAUCGGAACGUGCCCAGUCGUGGGGGAUAACUACUCGAAAGAGUAGCUAAUACCGCAUACGAUCUGAGGAUGAAAGCGGGGGACCUUCGGGCCUCGCGCGAUUGGAGCGGCCGAUGGCAGAUUAGGUAGUUGGUGGGAUAAAAGCUUACCAAGCCGACGAUCUGUAGCUGGUCUGAGAGGACGACCAGCCACACUGGGACUGAGACACGGCCCAGACUCCUACGGGAGGCAGCAGUGGGGAAUUUUGGACAAUGGGCGAAAGCCUGAUCCAGCAAUGCCGCGUGCAGGAUGAAGGCCUUCGGGUUGUAAACUGCUUUUGUACGGAACGAAAAAGCUUCUCCUAAUACGAGAGGCCCAUGACGGUACCGUAAGAAUAAGCACCGGCUAACUACGUGCCAGCAGCCGCGGUAAUACGUAGGGUGCGAGCGUUAAUCGGAAUUACUGGGCGUAAAGCGUGCGCAGGCGGUUAUGUAAGACAGAUGUGAAAUCCCCGGGCUCAACCUGGGAACUGCAUUUGUGACUGCAUGGCUAGAGUACGGUAGAGGGGGAUGGAAUUCCGCGUGUAGCAGUGAAAUGCGUAGAUAUGCGGAGGAACACCGAUGGCGAAGGCAAUCCCCUGGACCUGUACUGACGCUCAUGCACGAAAGCGUGGGGAGCAAACAGG